GGCAAUUGGCUUACCUCAGAAGUGAGUUCGAAGAAUCAAGAUAAUCAACAUAUGGCAGCUGAUUAUUCUUGAGGAAAGUCUGAGACAAAUUACUCUUGAGUAGAAAAGUAGUAAGUUGAAGACUAAAGGAGGUGCUUUCUAUUCAUCCCUUGGAGCUUGUGGUAGGAGUUCUGAGCUAUCUAUGGAAGAUUAUCUCUUGUAAUGGGAUGAAAAUGUAUAUGUCCCAAUGAAUGUCUG
rnacentral:lncRNA from 1 species